UACAGGGGGUGCAAGCGUUGUUCGGAAUUACUGGGCGUAAAGCGCGGGCAGGUGGCCUUUUAAGUCCUUUGUGAAAUCCCGGAGCUCAACUCCGGAUCUGCAUAGGAUACUGGAGGGCUAGGGACUGGUAGAGGCGAGCGGAAUUCCUGGUGUAGCGGUGAAAUGCGCAGAUAUCAGGAGGAACACCGAUGGCGAAGGCAGCUCGCUGGGACGGUACUGACGCUGAGGCGCGAAAGCGUGGGGAGCGAACAGG
rnacentral:rRNA from 1 species